CCUUGGAAGAGCGCUGCUGCUUGCAGUGUGACGGAGAACAAAGCCUUCUUAAAGCCUUGAUCCUCUCUCUGUGUGCAGGCUGGCUUCGGCUACGGUCUGCCCAUCUCACGUCUGUACGCCAAGUACUUCCAGGGGGACCUGCAGCUCUACUCCAUGGAGGGCCACGGCACAGACGCUGUCAUCUACUUGAAGGCGCUGUCCACAGACUCCAUCGAGAGGCUGCCAGUGUACAAUAAAACCGCUCUGAGGAACUACAAAGUGAGCCAAGAGGCCGACGACUGGUGUAUACCCAGCAAAGAACCCCUAGAUCUCAGCGUCUAUAAGGUUCCCAAGUGAAAAUGUUUUCAAGGCCUCCAGGUGCUUCAAGUCUUCAAAUUUCUGUGUUCAUAUUCCCAUGUCACCAUCUGUCAAGGCAGAUGUGGGCGUCAAAUCUUUUUCUACCGAGAGGUUUCAUCUCCAGACUAAAGCCCUCUUCUAUUUUAGUUUGGUUUUAGCAGUAGCAUGUUGCUUUCAGUCCCCGCGGCCUUUGGGGUUCUUCAUAGGAAAAUAGAAAACGGCUGCUAACAGAGAAGACUGUGGAAGUGCAGCUCCAAAUGUUGCGUCAUGAGUCGUGCAGGUAGAGAUGGAGGAAGCACCCAGCAUGUCAUGGGUGUUGGGUUUAAAAAGUGUGUGGUGUUAUAAAAAGUGGGAAAAGUAAACAAGGGUUUAAAUUAGGGCUGUCAGUGCUGACGCGUUAGUCACAAUGCAAUUAAAGUUCGUUCAUAAUGUGCUAUUUAUUGUUAAUUACCGGCAAUCUCAGCUGACAGUCCUGUCUUCAAGAGGCUGUAAUGGGCUGAGUUUUUAAGCUAGAGCAAUGAUACUCGUAUGAGUGAAACUAGAAGACAUACUGAAUCCAGCGGUACCGACCAUGUCAUUCUAGCAUCUGCAGGGGGUGCAAAAUAAUGCUCCAAAUUUUGGCCAAAUUGUGACGAUGGAAAAACAGCAUGGCCUCUUCUAGAUAUAUCUGAAUGAAAAUGUUUACUGUGGGUAUCCAUGAGCUGCCACUUUUCAGACAUGCCCACUUUAUGCCCGCCCCAUGCAGUUUGGGCAAAAACCAUGCAGUUUUUUGCAUGUAGUAUAAAUGUGUAAUUUUCGCCUGUUGUAUUUGAAUAUUGCUAAAGACAAGACUAAACAGUCUUGAAAUUGCUGCCACCUACGAGCUAAGCUCACAGGUGCAGCUCAUCAGACUGAUGGCAACCACGUCACCAAAGACAGCAAAGCACUUUUUUGGAGCGUACGAAUUGCCAAAGACCUGGUUGGCAACUCACUGCAGACCAGUCGUCCUCAGGUUGGCAUCUUGUGACAAGUCACAUGACUCGCAUACAGGACCUGUAUGAUUUAGAGAAAACAACUAAACUGGAACUCCUGAAAAGUGCAAAGCAAAUUUCUUUGCAUUCAUUAGAUUUCCACUCAAGACAAUCUAGUAAGAAUUACUUUAUCUUGUCAAUAUGGACUUAAAACUGUUUUCAAAUGCAAAGCAAUGGAAUUGUAAACAUGCGAUAUUGCAGUUUUUUAAAAUUAAUCAUUUGACAGCCCUAGUUUAGAUAUUCCAGUUUAAGUCACCACACAUGCAGUGAGGUAACCAGUGCAGAUGUUUGAGGAAGUAUUCAGUUGAACAAUUGUUGAACAAUUGUAGAACGUGUCACCCAAGCCUUACAGUAGCAACUUCACCCAAAGGCUCAUUUCAUCGAAAUACUUGAAGUAUCUGAAAAAAAAAAAUGUUGCACCUUGUUAAAUUUUAAAGUACUGUAAAGCUGUCGGAUGUGUAGAUUUGAACAAACGUAUGAUUUUUAAAUUGGUUGUUGUGUUUUCUGCAUGGAUGUCCGUUUUGAUAUUUCAGCCCUUAAAGGUUUAAUCACAGUAUUCAUGUCGACUAAUAAGAUACGGUGUUAUCUUAACAUCAGUCGUCUGGACCAGGCUGAAUGUAAUCCACUCGCUUCUGUGAAUUAAUUACAGAGACAAAGAGCGUUACAUGAAAGAACCUACAGCACUAUAGGGCCCAAGUUCUCUCUGAUACACCAGGUUUCAAGGCCAGCCAACAAGGGAUCCGCAUCGCUUUUUAUUGGAGGUUUAAUGCUUUUAGAGUUCAAUAGAGGCUCGUGUUAUUAAACUCUACAGAGCCGUGCAUCUCAUGUCUUUGAUCCAGUAAAACAAGGCCAGUCUCAGAUUGUUCAUCACACUGUGCCAUAUGAGGAAAAAAUGUACCAGGUCCAUAUGUGUUUAAAAAUGCACAGUUUUCUUUUGUAUUAAAUCGAUCUAAAUCAUGUAGUGAGUUAGAGGUUAUUUUUAUAGCUACAUUUUUUUGCGACUUAAAUGAUUGUACAUAGUGUGAAUACGAUCCAAAUAAUAAAGAACAACUUAAGUACAAAA